GUAGAGACAGGAUCUCACUAUGUUGCCAAGCUGGUCUAAAACUCCAGGGCUCAAGUGAUCCUCCUGCCUCAGCCUCCCAAAGUGCUGGGAUUACAGGCUUGAGCUGCAGUGCCCAGCCAAUUAACUACUCUUCCCAGAAAAACAAAAACAAAGAGACUACACAUUGCUUUGCAGAGAGAAGGUCCAUGCCUAGUAUAUAUAGCCUUUGGAAAAUAACUUAAAAAGCUCCUAACAAAUAUGACCAUGAUAUCGAGAAAUAAGAACAGUUGCCAGAAAAUGGAGAUAGUAACCCCCUCCAGCUAAUACUAACUUGUUUUCAUUAUUUAAAAGGAUAAGGGAUUCACUUAAGCCUUGAACUAAAAUAACCAAAACUUUAAUUGUAUAAAACAUACAGAAUAUAGACAAUGAGUUCAGUAAAGACUCAUACAGAGUUCUAAAAGUCAUUUAUUUAAAACAUUGGUGUUAAAUUGGCACUGAUCAUAAAACAGGCAAUAUUCUGAAAAAAAAGCACACAAACGCUUACUUUCUCCUAUGACACAUUCAUUCCUACAUAUGACAGGCUUCUGCUUCUCUUUGUUAAUACUGCUUAAUUUCAGCCUCAUGAAUGCUAAGUAUUGUGAACAACCACUCCCAUUGUAUCAGUGCUAAUAACUUAGUCUUAAUAUAAAACAAACACUCAAGUAUCUAUGUGAUUUACUUUUCAUUUAAAAAUUUUUUCUUUCAAGAUUUUUCUCAAGAACAAGUGGCUUGGAAUUUUGCUUGACUCAUUUUAGAAAACUUUCACGGAAUCUUGGUAAAGGAGUAAUUGUAAAGGCUUAAGAGGCUAUAUGCAUAAUUUUUAUUUAAUGAUUUGUUGCUCUGAAAGUCAAAAUAAGGGAGUCAAAACCUAAAUGCCCUCACGUGUGUCAUAGGUUCCUAGUCCUAAAAGUCUAGGAAAGGUUGAAGCAGAAGAAAAAGUGGUGAAGUGUUUUACUGUGCAUUAAUUCUAGCACAUCAGCAUUAUCAAAAAUUGCUUCUUCUCCUUCUUCUUUUUUUUUUUUUUUUGAAAUAGAAUCUCGCUGUGUCGCCCAGGCUGGAGUGCAGUGUCAUGGUAACUGAAGCCUCCAACUCCUGGGCUCAAGAAAUCUUCCCACCUUAGCCCCCUGAGUAACUGGGAUUACAGGCACGCAAUAUCACCCCAGCUAAUUUUUGUAUUUUUUGGAGAGAUGGGGUUUUGCCAUGUUCUCCAGGUUGGUCUUGAACUCCUGGGCUCAAGUGAUUUGUCUGCUUUGGCCUCCAAAAGUGCUGAGGUUACAGGUAUGAGCCAUCAUGCCCAGCCAAAAAUUUCUUCUUAUAGUCAAUGUGUGACAUCUAUUUCUUUCUCUAUCUCCUCCACGAGCCUGUGAGCUCCUUAAAAGCACGGUUGGUAUCUUAUUUGACUUUGUAUCUUGGCUCACCACAAGCACCUACCGAAUGUUUGUUCAAUAAAUAAACUUCGAUGGAGGUGAGUAGGGAAAGUGCGCAGACCUAUACAUCAUGCAGGCUAUAUAGUCCUCUCACGUGGUUUUAAAAACACAUACUCUAUUGGAGAAAGCUGUGAACAAAAUAGUCAAGUUCAAUAACGUCUUCACAUUCUUCACAUACAAUUGGCCUGUUAUCAUGCUUUAACUACCCUUGUUUAAUACUUCAAGAUACUAAAAAACUCUUCAAGAUGUUUGUGACCUGUCCUUUGAAUUUAGCUGAAAAUCAAACAGAAAUAAACCUUUUCAGAAGCAGUUUUUACUUUCAACCAUUUUGGCAUUCAAGCAGCACAUUUCACCUUUACAGUCAUACACAUCAUGCAUACAUCAUGUUUUGACAGGCCUGCAAUUUAUAGAUAAAAGUUGACAUUUAGAAGUAAAUAUAAGGAGUUCAAGACCAGCCUGGCCAGUAUGGUGAAACCCCAUCUCUACUAAAAACACAAAAAUUAGCCGGGCGUGGUGGUGGGUGCCUGUAAUCCCAGCUACUCGGGAGGCUGAGGCAGGAGAGCUGCUUGAACCCGGGAGGUGGAGGUUGCAUGAGCCAAGAUCGUGCCACUGCACUCCAGCCUGGGCAACAGAGUGAGACUCCAUCUCAAAAAAAAAAAAAAAAAAAAGAAAGAAAAUAAAUAUAAAUUGCCCCAAACUAAAGGUCUACUAACAUUUUUUAUUGUCAAUAUUUUCAAUAUAUACAAGAGAAAAUAGCACAAAAAACACCCAUAAACCCAUCACAGAUUCUACA
rnacentral:lncRNA from 10 species